UGUGUGAGGCAGCCGUCACUGUGUCUCUGCGCUCCGCGUGCGUCGUACAGCGGUCUUUAUUUAAAGUAUAACUACACUCAGUGACUCUGCACAGCGUUAGAAACAUUGAAAACAUGACUGUCACUUUGCUCGGCGGCUUAUUUACGUCUUCUGAUGUUACUUUGGUUUUACCUCCUGACGAACACGUUAGGAUACGGCCCGUGUGUUUCCUCUACCCUUGGAGAAACUGGAGAAAUGUGAGGAGUGAUCUUCAUGAGUGCUUCUCUGUUGCUGCUUUCCUGCUCCUCUUCUUCACCAGCAAUGAUGUCAUCAUCUUCUCUCAGCUUCUCUAAAUUUUCUGGAUCCAGAACUCUCCUGAACUUUUUCAGCUCGGUCCUCAAAAAGGCCACCAUGUUCUCUUCAAGAAGCUAGGCCUUUGUACUGGUGGGAAAUGCAUGAAGGCUGCACAGAAUGUUGAAUAUCAGGUACCUACCAGGAACCAAAGUGAAAAACAAAGCUCUUUCCUGGACGGACGUCCUGGAGUCACAUGUCAUACAAGAUUAAAUUAAAAGUCUUGGAUUUAAAA